AAAUGACCAUCUCGUCGUGCGGGGUGGGACAGCAGAGGCGCAAACACAAAGCGGAUCAGCGACAGACGCAAGUCCCUCCCCCAAACAGCAACUGCGACUCUUCGCUGCGUUCACACAUGCACCCCUCGCCAUCAGGGUUCUUUCCUUCCUCAUCAACGCCCUUCAACUCCAGGGCAAAGAGAGAGGAGCGCGGCAGACAUCUCUUCCUGAUGGCGACGAGUGCACUAUUCUCGUGAUCUUGUUCUUUCUUCGGCGCCUCUCCGAUACCCGCUUCCCUUCGAUGGGGUUGCGCUGUGCAGGGCUGCAUCGGUACUGCUACUCCGUCAGCGUCGUCGAAGCGCCCGCCAGGCCCGCUUUCCCCGGCUUCUCUGUCUCUACACUGAAUCCCUCCAUGCCUGUCUUUCUCUGUGAACUCUGACGAGGAAAGAAGGCGAUGCUGAUACGAGGCGCCGCUCCGUGCUAACCGUUCAGCGAUCAUGAAUGUUGCGGCUGUGCGUGCGUUCAUGCGGCCGGAUUGGUGCCGCUGUGCGAGCUGGGGGAACUGCUGCGCGCGUGCCCGCGCAGUCUGCCCGCCCCACAGAGCCCGGCGACCGUGUCGGAGGAAGGUGCCGCCGCUCUCUGGGAGCGCCGAGGGUGAGGUGGACAAGCGGUGCUAGUGCGCCGCAGCGAGCACAGCACUGCGCACCAGGCCGUUCGCGACGACCGCCGCGGUGUACGGCCUGUGCGCCGACGCCACCUUGCACGAAUGGCGGGGGGGGGGCUGCGCGCAUAAAGCAGGCGACAGAGUACGCCGCCAUGACGGGCACGCGAUGGGGCAGCGGCCCCGCCGAUCGCGUAGGUGUGGCAGCGCACAGUUCGGUGCGCUGCGGCUUUUGAGACGCCUUUUCUUGUCUGCUGGGGCUACGGCUGCCCUUUAUGUGGGCAGCACGUCUGCCAUCGCUGCUUUGAGCACCGACUAUCCACACAGCCGUGCAGUCAAUGCGGAGUUUCAUGGCUGCAUGUCUCCCUUGCCGCACCUGGUCCACGACACGUUGCACAGAACCCGGCGAGACCCCCGCGGACAGGCCUAGCCGCGAUCCCGGAUACCAAGCGCGACGGCGCACAACUGGUGACACGGGGAGGUGAGACAGUAAGCUCGAAGGGCGGGUGGCUCCGUGCUCUCAUCUGUGGACACAAGCACAAGCGUGUACGCGAAUUAGUGCUCCUGGAUACAAAAAAAAGCCGAAGACGCUCUCAAUGCCGAACCGUUAUGGCCCUCCGUGUAACUCUCUCUCUCUGCACUUCCUCCCUCUCCUCUCUCCCCCCUCUCGUGAAG
rnacentral:misc_RNA from 1 species